AGUCGAGGGGCAGCGAGAUUGAAGCUUGCUUCAAUUGUCGGCGACCGGCGGACGGGUGCGUAACGCGUAUGCAACCUACCCAUAACAGGGGGAUAACACUGAGAAAUUGGUACUAAUACCCCAUAACAUCUCGAGUGGCAUCACUUGGGGUUGAAAGCUUCGGUGGUUAUGGAUGGGCAUGCGUUGUAUUAGCUAGUUGGUGAGGUAACGGCUCACCAAGGCGACGAUACAUAGGGGGACUGAGAGGUUAACCCCCCACAUUGGUACUGAGACACGGACCAAACUCCUACGGGAGGCAGCAGUGAGGAAUAUUGGUCAAUGGACGGAAGUCUGAACCAGCCAUGCCGCGUGCAGGAUGACGGCUCUAUGAGUUGUAAACUGCUUUUGUACGAGGGUAAACCCGAAUACGUGUAUUCGGCUGAAAGUAUCGUACGAAUAAGGAUCGGCUAACUCCGUGCCAGCAGCCGCGGUAAUACGGAGGAUUCAAGCGUUAUCCGGAUUUAUUGGGUUUAAAGGGUGCGUAGGCGGUCAGAUAAGUUAGAGGUGAAAUUCCGGUGCUUAACACCGGCGCUGCCUCUAAUACUGUU
rnacentral:rRNA from 1 species